GGGGGUGUAGCUCAGUGAUAAAGCAUUUGUCUAGCAUGCAUGAGGCCCUGGGUUCAAUCCCUAGCAGCUCAA
rnacentral:tRNA from 1 species